rnacentral:lncRNA from 1 species
AAAGUUGAGAAACUAGGUAAUUGAAGUUCUCUGACACAAACUCUGGACUGUAGGGUGAAUCAAGGAUUUAAACAAUCUCUGUAACAGGUAUAUUCCUCUGCAUAGAAUUAAAUGGCUGUGAAAGCAGGGAUGGAGAGCCACAUGUGGGAUGGGGUCUGACACUGGAAGAUAUCUGUCAGUUGUACUGCUUGUGCAAUUGUGCUGUGCACGUUGAAGCUUCAGUGGUAUGAAUUAUAUCUUGCCAUGCUAAAGUAACAGCAAAAUCUUAAAUGAAAUAUCCUUUCAUUGUGUUUUGUAUAAUCUCUCUCGGAACAUUAGAUGACAUAGCAGGUGUCCAAUUCAAAUAACAAAGGAAGAGAAAACAUUUUCAGCUGCAUUGAAAUACAAAUAGAUAAUAAAGUUUGAAAGUAUUGUAACAUUAUUUUUUAAUGUCCAAUAGCAAAUAUUCUAGUAGAUCCUCUGCAUUCAAAAUUAUGAGAUUUAUUUAUUUAUUUAUCUGCUUACUUCCAUACUUAUUUAUUUUACAGUAAUGUCUAAAAUGUUCUUGAAACUGAAAGAAUCAAGAAACAACUGGAUAAAAAGCUGGUUUUUGGAAUCUAGAUUUAGGUCUAUGUAUCUACUUUUAUGAAGUCUCUUAAGAUCUGGAAAUCCUCAAAAAUAAAAAUCCUUCUUUUAAGCUUUUUGAAACAUUUUAUUGAAUAUGUUGACUGUGAAAUAUUUUCAUUAAGUCCACAAGAGCUUCAAACAGGAGAAAAGGAAGCUGAAGUGCGACACUAUUAUGAGUACAGCAAAAGGUAGAAGAUAAAGGCAAUUCAAGAUAGAGCUGCUUACACCUAUGUUAAAACUCAACAAUAUACUAAGCUUGCAGUGCCUCUUGAUGAAAGCACUUUUAUUACCUAUAAUUUCUUGAAAUAAUUCUUACAUAGUUUAUUUUAUUUCAUUUUAUUUUUUGCCUAAAAAGAUUGGAUUUGAUGUUAUCUCAGAUUCUUAAAUGAACAAUUCCAUGGCCAGUUUAUGAGUAGAAAGGAAGUUUGUACUAUCAGGUCUAUAUCAGAAUGAGUCUGCUCUUGUGUUUUUCCUUACAGAGAUCUACAACCAAAUUCUAAGUUGGUUUCUGAAUAAACAAAAUUAAUCUUGAGAAUACCUUCUUUAAAAUAUGUUUCUUCUAAAAUUCAAAGUGAUUUCUUCUUUAUUCACUUUCCCUCUGGACCACUGAGAUCUGUGUAAAUAUUUAAUCUCAUAUGGUGUUUGAUCUCUGGGGGGAUAAUUUUCCGCAGACAAGAAAGGCUUGAGAUGUUUGAUUAUCAACACUGUUCUUUACCCAGGCAAGUGUGAAUACAUGCAGAACAAGAAAGAGACUGUGAUCUGCUAUGAAUAUUUUGUCAUCACAUCAUCUGUAGUUGAAACAACCAUGAAUAAAAUCAGAUCAAAGAAGAAAGUGCUAGACCAUCAUUCAGUAAUAUUUAUUGCAUGUGUAUUUGCCCCACGUUGCAAAAAGCACUUUUUCUUUGCACCCAUCCACCAUCUGUGUAAUCUUUUGGGACACAGUGUCCUUUGACACUGUGUGAUUGCUUCAAAAUCCCUGUGGAACAAGGGAUAUACCUCUAUUGAGAUUAUAAUGACUUGCCUUUAGAGGAAGCUUAAUGCUACAUUGGAAUGUCCUGCUUCAGUUUACUUGUUCUGGCCUACGUAAAACUUAUAAGCUGAAAAAGUCCUGAACACUCAAGGUAAGGUUCUUGUUGAUAAAAAACCUAGCAUAUAUUAGGAUCUAUGCUAUAGUAUGCAUUUUGUGAGAAAACAUUAAAAUUGUAAAGCUAGAGUGUGGCUGGAUGUCACAUCCCACUCGUGAAGGGAGGGAGGGGUGAUCAGAUUUGCAAAUCUCCCCUGGUUAGAUUACGGUGAAACUGACACUCAAGGUCCGAACACAAUCAUAAAUUUUAAUGAGAAUCUCUUUACUAUAAUUAUCUUCAAAUUAUUGGCAUACUUACAAUUAUAUUUAUCUAAGCCGUGUGGCUAAACUAUGUGACUUUAUAAGACAUGAAAGCAAGCUUUGUGUUACUUAACAGCUU